CCUACGGGUGGCUGCAGUGGGGAAUAUUGGACAAUGGGGGCAACCCUGAUCCAGCCAUGCCGCGUGUGUGAAGAAGGCCCUCGGGUUGUAAAGCACUUUCAGUGAGGAAGAACGCCUGGUGGUUAAUACCCAUCAGGAAAGACAUCACUCACAGAAGAAGCACCGGCUAACUCCGUGCCAGCAGCCGCGGUAAUACAGAGGGUGCGAGCGUUAAUCGGAAUUACUGGGCGUAAAGCGCGCGUAGGUGGCUUGAUAAGCCGGUUGUGAAAGCCCCGGGCUCAACCUGGGAACGGCAUCCGGAACUGUCAAGCUAGAGUGCAGGAGAGGAAGGUAGAAUUCCCGGUGUAGCGGUGAAAUGCGUAGAGAUCGGGAGGAAUACCAGUGGCGAAGGCGGCCUUCUGGACUGACACUGACACUGAGGUGCGAAAGCGUGGGUAGCAAACAGGAUUAGAUACCCCAGUAGUC
rnacentral:rRNA from 1 species